rfam:Candidatus Buchananbacteria bacterium RIFCSPHIGHO2_01_FTLL_39_8 rifcsphigho2_01_scaffold_43675, whole genome shotgun sequence.
GACCUAAACCGCACCUACAAUAAAUUGCGGCAUGGUCAAAAAUCCCAUAACAGGUACUGAACCCCACGUUCAGCGAUCUGUUAUGGGUCAUAUCGGGAAACUGGUAUGGGGCGAAAGCCC